UACGUAGGGUGCGAGCGUUGUCCGGAAUUAUUGGGCGUAAAGAGCUCGUAGGCGGUCUGUCGCGUCUGCUGUGAAAAUCCAGGGCUCAACCCUGGACCUGCAGUGGGUACGGGCAGACUAGAGUGCGGUAGGGGAGAUCGGAAUUCCUGGUGUAGCGGUGAAAUGCGUAGAUAUCAAGAGGAACACCUGAGGUGAAGACGGGUUGCUGGGCCAACACUGACGCUGAUGCGCGAAAGCCAGGGGAGCAAACGGG
rnacentral:rRNA from 1 species